rnacentral:guide_RNA from 1 species
AAAACACAAGGCAAGAUGGAAAGAAGAGAUAAAUAAGAUG